rnacentral:rRNA from 1 species
GGCCUUGACAUACUAAGAACUUUCCAGAGAUGGAUUGGUGCCUUCGGGAACUUAGAUACAGGUGCUGCAUGGCUGCCGUCAGCUCGUGUCGUGAGAUGUUGGGUUAAGUCCGCAACGAGCGCAACCCUUUUCCUUAUUUGCCAGCGGGUAAUGCCGGGAACUUUAAGGAUACUGCCAGUGACAAACUGGAGGAAGGCGGGGACGACGUCAAGUCAUCAUGGCCCUUACGGCCAGGGCUACACACGUGCUACAAUGGUCGGUACAAAGGGUUGCUACCUCGCGAGAGGAUGCUAAUCUCAAAAAGCCGAUCGUAGUCCGGAUCGCAGUCUGCAACUCGACUGCGUGAAGUCGGAAUCGCUAGUAAUCGCGGAUCAGAAUGCCGCGGUGAAUACGUUCCCGGGCCUUGUACACACCGCCCGUCACACCAUGGGAGUUUGUUGCACCAGAAGUAGGUAGUCUAACCGCAAGGAGGACGCUUACCACGGUGUGGCCGAUGACUGGGGUGAAGUCGUAACAAGGUAAGCGUAGAUGA